UACGUAGGGUGCAAGCGUUGUCCGGAAUUAUUGGGCGUAAAGAGCUCGUAGGCGGUUUGUCGCGUCUGCUGUGAAAACCCGCGGCUCAACCGUGUGGUCUGCAGUCGAUACGGGGCAGGCUAGAGUUCGGUAGGGGGAGACUGGAAUUCCUGGUGUAGCGGUGAAAUGCGCAGAUAUCAGGAGGAACACCGGUGGCGAAGGCGGGUCUCUGGGCCGAUACUGACGCUGAGGUGCGAAAGCGUGGGGGAGCAAACAGG
rnacentral:rRNA from 1 species